UCCUACGGGGCGCAGCAGUGAGGAAUAUUGGUCAAUGGGCGGGAGCCUGAACCAGCCAAGCCGCGCGAAGGAAGAAGGCGCCAAGCGUCGUAAACUUCUUUUGUCGGGGAACAAAGGGCGCCACGUGUGGCGUUGUGAGUGUACCCGAAGAAAAAGCAUCGGCUAACUCCGUGCCAGCAGCCGCGGUAAUACGGAGGAUGCGAGCGUUAUCCGGAUUUAUUGGGUUUAAAGGGUGCGUAGGCGGUCCGGAAAGUCAGCGGUAACAGCCCGGGGCUCAACCCCCGCGAGCCGUUGAACCUGUCGGA
rnacentral:rRNA from 1 species